AAAUGAAUUGACGGGGGAGCGCACAACCAGUGGAGCGUGUGGUUUAAUUCGAUACAAAGCGAAAAACCUUACCUGGGUUUGACAUGGUUGCGUAUGUUUUUUAUGAAAGUAGAAAACCUUCAGCAUUCACAGCUGCUGCAUGGCUGUCGUCAGCUCGUGCCGUGGGGUGUCGGCUUCAGUGCCGUAACGAGCGCAACCCCUGUUCUGUGUUACAUUGUUCACAGGAGACUGCCCCGCGCAUAGCGGGGAGGAAGGAGGGGAUGAUGUCAAGUCAGCAUGGCGCUUAUAUCCAGGGCUACACACACCCUACAAUGGGAUGGACAACAGGUUGCCAAGCCGCGAGGCGGAGCUAAUCCUUCAAACCAUCCCUCAGUUGGGAUUGCAGGCUGCAAUUCGUCUGCAUGAACUUGGAAUUGGUAGUAAUCGCGGAUCAGCAGGUCGCGGUGAAUACGUUCUCGCUCCUUGUACACACCGCCCGU
rnacentral:rRNA from 1 species